rnacentral:rRNA from 1 species
UGGGGAAUAUUGCACAAUGGGCGAAAGCCUGAUGCAGCGACGCCGCGUGAGGGAUGACGGCCUUCGGGUUGUAAACCUCUUUCAGCAGGGACGAAGCGCAAGUGACGGUACCUGCAGAAGAAGCACCGGCUAACUACGUGCCAGCAGCCGCGGUAAUACGUAGGGUGCAAGCGUUGUCCGGAAUUACUGGGCGUAAAGAGUUCGUAGGCGGUUUGUCGCGUCGUUUGUGAAAACCAGCAGCUCAACUGCUGGCUUGCAGGCGAUACGGGCAGACUUGAGUACUGCAGGGGAGACUGGAAUUCCUGGUGUAGCGGUGAAAUGCGCAGAUAUCAGGAUGAACACCGGUGGCGAAGGCGGGUCUCUGGGCAGUAACUGACGCUGAGGAACGAAAGCGUGGGUAGCGAACAGG